GCUUGUCUCAAAGAUUAAGCCAUGCAUGUCUAAGUAUAAACAACUUUGUACUGUGAAACUGCGAAUGGCUCAUUAAAUCAGUUAUAGUUUAUUUGAUGGUGCUUACUACAUGGAUAACCGUAGUAAUUCUAGAGCUAAUACAUGCGUCAAACCUCGACUUCUGGGAGAGGUGUAUUUAUUAGAUGGAAACCAAUGCGGGGCAACCCGGUAUAUGGUGAUUCAUAAUAACUUUCAGAUCGAUCGCAAGAUCGAUGCAUCAUUCAAGUUUCUGCCCUAUCAGCUUUGGAUGGUAGGGUAUUGGCCUACCAUGGCUUUAACGGGUAACGGAGAAUUAGGGUUCGAUUCCGGAGAGGGAGCCUGAGAAAUGGCUACCACAUCCAAGGAAGGCAGCAGG
rnacentral:rRNA from 1 species